rnacentral:rRNA from 1 species
GUUCGUAGUGACCUGCGGAGGAUCAUUACAGUAGUCACCCAGGUUGCCGCAAGGCCUCCUGGGUAACCUACCACCCUUUGUUUAUUACACUUUGUUGCUUUGGCAAGCCUGCCCUCGGGCUGCUGGCUCCGGCCGGCGAGCGCUUGCCAGAGGACCUAAACUCUGUUUGUCUAUACUGUCUGAGUACUAUAUAAUAGUUAAAACUUUCAACAACGGAUCUCUUGGUUCUGGCAUCGAUGAAGAACGCAGCGAAAUGCGAUAAGUAAUGUGAAUUGCAGAAUUCAGUGAAUCAUCGAAUCUUUGAACGCACAUUGCGCCCCCUGGUAUUCCGGGGGGCAUGCCUGUCCGAGCGUCAUUACAACCCUCAAGCUCAGCUUGGUAUUGGGCCCCGCCGACCCGGCGGGCCCUAAAGUCAGUGGCGGUGCCGUCCGGCUCCGAGCGUAGUAAUUCUUCUCGCUCUGGAGGUCCGGUCGUGUGCUCGCCAGCAACCCCCAAUUUUUUUCAGGUUGACCUCGGAUCAGGUAGGGAUACCCGCUGAACUUAAGCAU